CGUCCUUUCUUUCGGAGCUCUCUGCUGCUCUUAGCUGAGCGGUGGAGGGAGACGGAUCGUUUACUUUGAAAAAAUCAGAGUGUUUCAAGCAGGCAGCUCGCUCUUGCAUGGAUUAGCAUGGGAUAAUGAAAUAGGACUCUGGUGCUAUUUUGUUGGUUUCGAACACCGGAGUAAUGAUCAACAGGGACAGUCAGGGGCACUCGUAUUCCGCCGAGAGAGGUGAAAUUCUCAGACCAGCGGAAGACGAACCACUGCGAAAGCAUUUGCCAGGGAUGUUUUCACUGAUCAAGAACGAAAGUUAGGGGAUCGAAGACGAUCAGAUACCGUCGUAGUCUUAACCAUAAACCAUGCCGACUAGGGAUUGGGGGCUGUUCCGUUUGUGACUCCCUCAGCACCUUUCGGGAAACUAAAGUCUUUGGGUUCCGGGGGGAGUAUGGUCGCAAGGCUGAAACUUAAAGGAAUUGACGGAAGGGCACCACCAGGAGUGGAGCCUGCGGCUUAAUUUGACUCAACACGGGGAAACUUACCAGGUCCAGACAUUGUGAGGAUUGACAGAUUGAGAGCUCUUUCUUGAUUCGAUGGGUGGUGGUGCAUGGCCGUUCUUAGUUGGUGGAGUGAUUUGUCUGGUUAAUUCCGUUAACGAACGAGACCGCAGCCUGCUAAAUAGUGCCGCGAACCCUUCGUUGGCGGGUCACUUCUUAGAGGGACAACUUGUCUUCAACAAGUGGAAGUUUGCGGCAAU
rnacentral:rRNA from 1 species